rnacentral:rRNA from 1 species
UGGGGAAUAUUGGGGCAAUGGGGGCGAAAGCCUGACCCAGCAACGCCGCGUGAAGGAAGAAGGUCUUCGGAUUGUAAACUUCUUUUAUGAGGGACGAAGGACGUGACGGUACCUCAUGAAUAAGCCACGGCUAACUACGUGCCAGCAGCCGCGGUAAUACGUAGGUGGCAAGCGUUGUCCGGAUUUACUGGGUGUAAAGGGCGUGUAGCCGGGUCGGCAAGUCAGAUGUGAAAUCCACGGGCUUAACUCGUGAACUGCAUUUGAAACUGUUGAUCUUGAGUAUCGGAGAGGCAAUCGGAAUUCCUAGUGUAGCGGUGAAAUGCGUAGAUAUUAGGAGGAACACCAGUGGCGAAGGCGGAUUGCUGGACGACAACU